CAAAGGUGAGCCAGUACAGGAUGGACCCGCGUCUGAUUAGCUAGUUGGUAAGGUAACGGCUUACCAAGGCGACGAUCAGUAGCCGACCUGAGAGGGUGAUCGGCCACAUUGGAACUGAGACACGGUCCAAACUCCUACGGGAGGCAGCAGUGGGGAAUAUUGCACAAUGGGCGAAAGCCUGAUGCAGCAACGCCGCGUGAGUGAUGAAGGCCUUCGGGUCGUAAAACCCUGUCCUCAAGGAAGAUAAUGACGGUACUUGAGGAGGAAGCCCCGGCUAACUACGUGCCAGCAGCCGCGGUAAUACGUAGGGGGCUAGCGUUAUCCGGAUUUACUGGGCGUAAAGGGUGCGUAGGCGGUCUUUCAAGUCAGGAGUGAAAGGCUACGGCUCAACCGUAGUAAGCUCUUGAAACUGGGAGACUUGAGUGCAGGAGAGGAGAGUGGAAUUCCUAGUGUAGCGGUGAAAUGCGUAGAUAUUAGGAGGAACACCAGUUGCGAAGGCGGCUCUCUGGACUGUAACUGACGCUGAGGCACGAAAGCGUGGGGAGCAAACAGGAUUAGAUACCCUGGUAGUCCACGCUGUAAACGAUGAGUACUAGGUGUCGGGGGUUAC
rnacentral:rRNA from 1 species